rnacentral:rRNA from 1 species
GAUGAACGCUGGCGGCGUGCCUAAUACAUGCAAGUCGAGCGAACGGACGAGAAGCUUGCUUCUCUGAUGUUAGCGGCGGACGGGUGAGUAACACGUGGAUAACCUACCUAUAAGACUGGGAUAACUUCGGGAAACCGGAGCUAAUACCGGAUAAUAUUUUGAACCGCAUGGUUCAAAAGUGAAAGACGGUCUUGCUGUCACUUAUAUAUGGAUCCGCGCUGCAUUAGCUAGUUGUUAAGGUAACGGCUUACCAAGGCAACGAUGCAUAGCCGACCUGAGAGGGUGAUCGGCCACACUGGAACUGAGACACGGUCCAGACUCCUACGGGAGGCAGCAGUAGGGAAUCUUCCGCAAAGGGCGAAAGCCUGACGGAGCAACGCCGCGUGAGUGAUGAAGGUCUUCGGAUCGUAAAACUCUGUUAUUAGGGAAGAACAUAUGUGUAAGUAACUGUGCACAUCUUGACGGUACCUAAUCAGAAAGCCACGGCUAACUACGUG